UCUCCGUUGGUGAACCAGCGGAGGGAUCAUUACAGGACUCGCAAGACUCCUACAACCCUGUGAACUUAACUAUAAGCACGUUGCUUCGGCGGGUGUCUCGGAGGGGGUUCUCCCUCCCCGAGACGCUAAACCCGCCGGCAGCCUACUAUACUCUGUCUCUUUGCGUUGGCAUCUCGAGUACAAUCAAACAAGUUAAAACUUUCAACAACGGAUCUCUUGGUCCUG
rnacentral:misc_RNA from 1 species